rnacentral:misc_RNA from 1 species
AGGCACAAAAAAUAGAAAAUAAUUAUGAAUGAUUAUUCAUUAAAAGUAAUUGAGUAACAUGAGAGUAAUUGUCAACAAAAAUAACAAAAUACUUGAAUCUAGAUUUAGAAACAACAGGACAUAGACCCCAACCAUUAGAAUGGACUAACUCAAAAGAGGACAAAGCUUGUUAACCGAAGGUAAAUGGUGUUGUUUAGCAAAUUGACACAACUUACAUUAUAAAACUGGCUAUGAUUAAAACUAAGGACAAAAUUUUUUUUUAUAGUAGAUAAGGAAGGACGUUCUAAUCGAUAAUGAACUUCAAAUGAAGUUGAGGUAGUAGAACAAACAAGAGACCUUGGCACUUGUUUGUUACGUAUGUAGGGAUCUACAUACUCAUGACCUCAACAAAUAAUUUGUUUCGUCGUAAGAUCUUGUAAUUGACAACGACUAGGAAAAAAUGAGAUACAGUAAUUCAAGUAUUGAGUGAAUUUACUCACAGAAAUUAAAUUGAAAGAAAACCUAGGUAGGUUUAACACAGAUGCAAAGAUUGAUGAAGAUAGAUUAACAGUUCUAGAAACAAGAAUACAAGAGG